AGGAAUUCUCUAUGGCACAAUGACAUUGGAGCUUGGAGGAACGGUCAAUAUUACCUGUCAAAAAACUGGAUACAGUGCAAUACUUGAAUUCAAACUAAAGCCAUUUCUAGGUAGUAGUGACUGUGUCAAUCAAAUAUCAGGGAAACUUAAAUUGGGAAAAGAAGUCCUCGCUACUUUGGAAGGCCAUUGGGACAGUGAAGUUUUCAUUAACGACAAAAAGACGGAUAGUUGUGAAGUUUUCUGGAAUCCUACCCCAGACAUUAAGCAGUGGCGAUUAAUAAGGCACACUGUAAAAUUUGAAGAGCAGGGAGAUUUUGAAUCAGAAAAGUAAGUGUAACAUUCUCAUGGCUAUCCUCAAGAAGAGUAUUUUCUGUCCCUCAGUAGUGCAGUCACUUUUCUUUACCUUUUGUCUUAUUUUAAUUCAGCAAAAUACUUCUGUGUUUGUGGGAUGGGACAGGAUUAUUUUGUUACCUUUGAAUGUCAAAUAAGCAUAAUAAAAAUGAGC